GAUAAACGCUGGCGGCGUGCCUAAUACAUGCAAGUCGAGCGAACGGACGAGAAGCUUGCUUCUCUGAUGUUAGCGGCGGACGGGUGAGUAACACGUGGAUAACCUACCUAUAAGACUGGGAUAACUUCGGGAAACCGGAGCUAAUACCGGAUAAUAUUUUGAACCGCAUGGUUCAAAAGUGAAAGACGGUCUUGCUGUCACUUAUAGAUGGAUCCGCGCUGCAUUAGCUAGUUGGUAAGGUAACGGCUUACCAAGGCAACGAUGCAUAGCCGACCUGAGAGGGUGAUCGGCCACACUGGAACUGAGACACGGUCCAGACUCCUACGGGAGGCAGCAGUAGGGAAUCUUCCGCAAUGGGCGAAAGCCUGACGGAGCAACGCCGCGUGAGUGAUGAAGGUCUUCGGAUCGUAAAACUCUGUUAUUAGGGAAGAACAUAUGUGUAAGUAACUGUGCACAUCUUGACGGUACCUAAUCAGAAAGCCACGGCUAACUACGUGCCAGCAGCCGCGGUAAUACGUAGGUGGCAAGCGUUAUCCGGAAUUAUUGGGCGUAAAGCGCGCGUAGGCGGUUUUUUAAGUCUGAUGUGAAAGCCCACGGCUCAACCGUGGAGGGUCAUUGGAAACUGGAAAACUUGAGUGCAGAAGAGGAAAGUGGAAUUCCAUGUGUAGCGGUGAAAUGCGCAGAGAUAUGGAGGAACACCAGUGGCGAAGGCGACUUUCUGGUCUGUAACUGACGCUGAUGUGCGAAAGCGUGGGGAUCAAACAGGAUUAGAUACCCUGGUAGUCCACGCCGUAAACGAUGAGUGCUAAGUGUUAGGGGGUUUCCGCCCCUUAGUGCUGCAGCUAACGCAUUAAGCACUCCGCCUGGGGAGUACGACCGCAAGGUUGAAACUCAAAGGAAUUGACGGGGACCCGCACAAGCGGUGGAGCAUGUGGUUCAAUUCGAAGCAACGCGAAGAACCUUACCAAAUCUUGACAUCCUUUGACAACUCUAGAGAUAGAGCCUUCCCCUUCGGGGGACAAAGUGACAGGUGGUGCAUGGUUGUCGUCAGCUCGUGUCGUGAGAUGUUGGGUUAAGUCCCGCAACGAGCGCAACCCUUAAGCUUAGUUGCCAUCAUUAAGUUGGGCACUCUAAGUUGACUGCCGGUGACAAACCGGAGGAAGGUGGGGAUGACGUCAAAUCAUCAUGCCCCUUAUGAUUUGGGCUACACACGUGCUACAAUGGACAAUACAAAGGGCAGCGAAACCGCGAGGUCAAGCAAAUCCCAUAAAGUUGUUCUCAGUUCGGAUUGUAGUCUGCAACUCGACUACAUGAAGCUGGAAUCGCUAGUAAUCGUAGAUCAGCAUGCUACGGUGAAUACGUUCCCGGGUCU
rnacentral:rRNA from 1 species